rnacentral:sRNA from 1 species
GGUGACUGAUCGAAGGCGGUGAUGCUCCGGC